rnacentral:rRNA from 1 species
GAUGAACGCUGGCGGCGUGCCUAAUACAUGCAAGUCGAGCGAACAGAUGAGAAGCUUGCUUCUCUGGUGUUAGCGGCGGACGGGUGAGUAACACGUGGGUAACCUACCUAUAAGACUGGGAUAACUGCGCGAAAGCGGGGCGCACACCGGAUAAUAUGUUGAACCGCGUGAUUCAGUAGUGAACGACGGUUUCGGCUGUCACUUAUAGAGGGACCCGCGCCGGAUUGGCGAGUUGGUAAGGUAACGGCUUACCAAGGCGACGAUACGUAGCCGACCUGAGAGGGUGAUCAGCCACACUGGAACUGAGACACGGUCCAGACUCCUACGGGAGGCAGCAGUAGGGAAUCUUGGGCAAUGGGCGAAAGCCUGACGGAGCAACGCCGCGUGAGUGAUGAAGGUCUUCGGAUCGUAAAACUCUGUUGUUAGGGGAGAACAAAUUUGUUAGUAACUGAACAAGUCUUGACGGUACCUAAACAGAAAGCCCCGGCUAACUACGUGCCAGCCGCCGCCGUAA